GCCUCGGUGGCUCAGCCUGGUAGAUGCGUCUUUGCAACAGAUAGCAUCCGCCUCGUAAGCGGAAGGUCGCGGGUUCAAACCCCGCCCGAGGCUCCA
rnacentral:tRNA from 1 species